ensembl:misc_RNA 7SK 7SK RNA
AGAUGUGAGGGCGAUCUGGCUGCGAUAUUUGUCACCCCAUUGAUCACCAGGGUUGAUUGUUCCGAUCUGGCUGGCUACGCAGGUGUCCCCUUCCUCCCUCACUGCUCCAUGUGCAUCCCUCCUGAAGCUGUGAGCUUGGUGAAAGUGGACAGCCUUCCUUGAAUGGAGACGGAGGGGUCUUUGGUCGAGGGUAUAUGAGUAGCUGCUCUACCCUGCUAGAAUCUCCAAACAUGCUCUCAAGAAUACUGCAGAUGAAGAUGUGAGGGUCUCCAUUUUGGAAAAAGCUAGUAGGUCUAUUUUAGGUAUAUUCCAAGGGGCCCAUGACUUUAUUA